AAAGAGAAGAUGAUGAAUUACUAAUGCAUAGUUCAACUGAACGCCCCCAAGGCUGCUGUUGAUCAAACUCUUUCGCUCCUAUCUGAUUCUCCAG
rnacentral:snoRNA from 2 species